rnacentral:lncRNA from 12 species
CCUGCCUGUGCAUUCCUGCCUGCUCUCAAGUCUGUGCUCCCACAGAUCCUGUGAGUGCCCCCGCUCCCCUUGGGCCGUCAUACUUACUGUAAGCUCAGUCGGAGUGGGUUUCCUUUGCUUGACACCAAAACCAUAACGGCUACAUCGUUGUUUUAUAUUUUAUUUUAUUACUUUAUUUUUUCAUUGUUGCUUUUUAAAACUUAGACAUCUUUUUCCUUAAAAGUGAUAGAAUUAGUCCACCUCCAAUGGCAUCUUACACAGAACCUCAUUAAAUAAUGCAGGGGAAAUUGGAGCUGGUCUGGUGAGUUAUCUGGUCUUCCCUCCGCCUCAUUACGUAUAACCCAUUUCCCACACCAGCGCCUGAGAGGAGCGUAAGGCCUCAGGAAGCCCAUUUAUAACCACUAGCUUCAAGUACUGUAGGCACCUGUUAAAUUGUAACCUGAAGGUAGACUGUGUGAAACCAUCAUCAGGCAUUCAUACCUUAUUUGGAAGGGAUUUAUAUGAUUUCCUGCCCAGUGAGCAAUCAGAUAUCCAAAGAAGCAAGCAGCAUAAGGCUUGGCAGGAAGGUACGAGUCCUGGGAAGGAUAUACCUACACCUGGGGUCACGACUUCAAAUGCCUGCAAUGCCAGCUCUCUCGGUUACUCCAUGAACACGGCAUGUGAAGGCUGUUCUGCAGUUUGCCAGUCUCUACUGCCUCGCUUCGAGCCACCUGCAGUGAUACGCCUGGCUGUGUCUGAAUGUCAGGCCUAG